rnacentral:rRNA from 1 species
GUGGGGAAUAUUGCACAAUGGAGGAAACUCUGAUGCAGCGACGCCGCGUGAGUGAAGAAGUAUUUCGGUAUGUAAAGCUCUAUCAGCAGGGAAGAAAAUGACGGUACCUGACUAAGAAGCACCGGCUAAAUACGUGCCAGCAGCCGCGGUAAUACGUAUGGUGCAAGCGUUAUCCGGAUUUACUGGGUGUAAAGGGAGCGUAGGUGGCAAGGCAAGCCAGAAGUGAAAACCCGGGGCUCAACCGCGGGAUUGCUUUUGGAACUGUCAUGCUAGAGUGCAGGAGGGGUGAGCGGAAUUCCUAGUGUAGCGGUGAAAUGCGUAGAUAUUAGGAGGAACACCGGAGGCGAAGGCGGCUCACUGGACUGUAACUGACACUGAGGCUCGAAAGCGUGGGGAGCAAACAGGAUUAGAAACCCUAGUAGUCC